rnacentral:piRNA from 1 species
UGUAAUUUUAAUUUUCUUAAA